rnacentral:rRNA from 1 species
UGGGGAAUUUUGCGCAAUGGACGAAAGUCUGACGCAGCGACGCCGCGUGGGUGAUGAAGGUCUUCGGAUUGUAAAGCCCUGUCGUGGGGAACGAAAUCUCUUAUGGCUAAUAUCCAUAGGAUGUGACGGUACUCCAAAAGGAAGCACCGGCUAACUCCGUGCCAGCAGCCGCGGUAAUACGGAGGGUGCAAGCGUUGUUCGGAAUUACUGGGCGUAAAGCGCCUGUAGGUGGCUUAAGUAGUCGGGUGUGAAAACCCCGGGCUCAACCCGGGAACUGCGCCCGAAACCAUUAAGCUUGAGUGCCAAAAGGGUACGUGGAAUUCCAAGUGUAGCAGUGAAAUGCGUAGAUAUUUGGAGGAACACCGGUGGUGCAGACGACGUACUGGGUGGCAACUGACACUGAGAGGCGAAAGCGUGGGUAGCAAACAGG